rnacentral:rRNA from 1 species
UACGGAGGGGGCUAGCGUUGUUCGGAAUUACUGGGCGUAAAGCGCGCGUAGGCGGACCUGUAAGUCGGGGGUGAAAGCCCGAGGCUCAACCUCGGAACUGCCUUCGAUACUGCGGGUCUCGAGUCCGGGAGAGGUGAGUGGAAUUCCUAGUGUAGAGGUGAAAUUCGUAGAUAUUAGGAAGAACACCAGUGGCGAAGGCGGCUCACUGGCCCGGUACUGACGCUGAGGCGCGAAAGCGUGGGGAGCAAACAGG